CGCCCUUUGGGUUUUAAACUGAAUCUUUGUUUUGUUUUGCUUUGCUUUGCUCUGCUUGAGACAGGAUCAUACUCUGGAGCUCAGGCUGCUGUCCUCCUGCCUCAGCCUGAUCUGGGCUAGGAUUACAGGGACAAGCUAGGACAUCUGGCUAAAACACAUCCCAUUUGAAUGUCCAGCUGAUGGCGAAUUGGCCUCAUGUGGGUGAUUAGAUAUAGAAUAAGUUUGAAAGUGAGAAGAGAUGUUUGCGAGCCCUUAGUGGUCUCGACACCUGCAGCCAGGUGCUGAGCCUUUCUUAUCCUCCCAGUUUUGAGAUGGCACUGUUGGGGCUAGCAGGACUGUAGAGGAGAUUUUAAAGUAUAUGCUUCAUUUAAUAUGACAGGAGCAGAGCUUGGGCCAUCGGCCUUCCAGCCUACUUUACUUCUAACACCAAUACGUCCUCCAAAGAAGAAAAUAGAUGAUAAUAGAUAAUAGAUGGGCCUACUUGAUAUUAAUGAAUGUACCAACUAUAAUAUAUUUGGUUUAGGGCAGCCUUCAAUUAAAUUUUUGCUAGCAUGUUCUACUUAAAGAAGAAAAUAAAACAUCAAAAUGCAGGAAGAUCAAGUGCGAUGAGGACUUUUGCUUAAGCCUAACCUGUCAGCAGUCUUAGAUCUACGGUAGAAGCCACUCUUGUUACCGGCACUAGCCAAAAUUCGUAGAGAGAUGAAGGGUGUAGACAGGUCUGCAUUGUAAGAAUCAUCUUCUCAUAUCAACUGAAGGAAGCCGGCUUAGACAUUUUGUAGUGCUUUCCAGGAAAUAAGGUUGAAACGGAAAGUGUGUCCGAAAUAGCUCGGCAGCCUAGUGGCCAAACUUGGAAGCCAGAUGACUCUUGCCUUCGCUACCUCCUCACUGAGUGAUUUUGGACAAAAGGCUUACCGUGUUCCCUUAUCUAGGUCACAGCUAGAAUUCGGUAGACUCUAUGUCAUCUAGUUAAAAGGAAUGGAGAGUUAAUAUAUACCAUGGACCUACAACUGCCUAGCAUAGGCUGGAUAUUCGGUGUAUGUGGAUCUUAAUGAUAAUUUGUUUGCAGGUGGAGAGAGGGCACUCGGUUCCAAAGAUGGGAAAAGGCAUCUCCCAUUUCUGGUAGGAGCACAGGAAAGCUGGGUGUGAUGAUGAAGGCCUCGGGGAGAUGGAGGCAGGAGGAUUGGGAGUUUAAGACCUUUGUCAGCUGCAUGGGAAUUUUGAGGCUGCCCUCGGUUCUUUGAGAUUCUGUCUCUAAAUAAAUAAAUAAAUAAAUAAAUAAAUAAGGAGCAUAGGAUAGAAGCAGGUUAGUUGGAGAAGCUUGGUUGUCUUUGGAGAACAUUCAGUUUGAAAUAGCUUUGUUACAGCUCAGCAGAGAUGUUACAGUUACAUCAAGUGGGCAGCAGACCCUUACUCCAUGACAGCCUAGUUUUCUGCAAAUCGCAGACUCUCUGGUUUUCCUGGCAGCUUCAUGUGUGUUCCCCACAACCAUUCCAUGGAUUCAGAUUCACGAACAAUAAUGAGGGAGAUAAUGGCACAGAUUAAAAACUCACCAAGUUUGUGUUAAAGAGAGAAAACAUUUCCCCCAAAGCCCUAAAUAUCUUAAAUAAAGUAGUAUGUAAAUGUCUUAUAUAAAGUAGUACGUAAGUAUAAACCUCAGCAUGCCACGGUCACAGAAAUGCUGAGACUGGACAUUCAAACCAGAAAAGGAACAUUGUGUCUUUCUCUUACCCAUUCAGGUCAUUCUUGGUUUUGUUUUGCUUUUGUGCUGGGAACUGAAUGGAGGCCUUGUGUAUGUCUGUGUAGGGCAGUACCAAUGAGCAUCUUAUCCCCAGCUGAUUUCUUACUUUUUGAGGUACAGUUGCUAACUUGUCCAGGCUUGACUUGAGCUCACCAUGCAGCCCAGGCAGUCCUUGAACUUGUAGUCUUUCUGCCUCAGCCUCCUGAUCAGGCUGGUUCACAAGCUUGCUUUAUCAGGCCAAGCUUCCGUGUAUUCAUUCAUACAGAGACUAUUCCCUGAGCACUUACUGUGUACUAUGGACCGUUCUAGGCAAGGGUGUGAUGGUAAAUACGCCAGACCAGGAUUCCUUUGCUGAGGGAACCUGUCUGGGCUAGCACAGAGGCUAGGAAGAACAGACAAUAAACAUAACACACAAUGUAUUAGUUUCCUAUCCAUUCAGAUGGCUGCUGUCUAAGAAAAUGGGGCUAGAAAGAUGGCUCAGUGGUAUCCGGUUACUCUUCCUGGGGACUGAGGUUCAAUUCCUAGAAUCCACAUGGUCACUCAUAAACAUUUGUAACUCCAAUAUGCAAAGAAUCUGAUGCCCUACAGACAUUACAGGCAUGAAAUACACAGACACACAUGCAGGGGUUGGGGUGCACUGAUACAAAUACAGUAAUACUCUUAAGAGAGAAAAACAGAAAAGAAGCCAGUAUUGAAGCUGUGCAGAAAUUGGAACAUUCUGGUGGAUAACAAAAAUUGCAGCUGUCAUUGAGGAUGGUGUGGCGAGAAUAUUUAAAAUUCCAUUUUAAAUGUUCUCAAAAUAUUUAAAAUGAAAUUACUAUUAUCCAGAAAUCCCACUUCAGGGUAUGUGUGUACCAAAGGACUGGAAGCACGGUCCUGAGAAGAUAUUUAUACACCACAGUCACAGCAACUUCACUCUCAAUAGCCAAAAGGGUGGGAUGACUCCUCUACUGACAGACAAACAUGUAGACAAAGCGUGAUGUACACACACAAUGUUGACCCUCAAAGAAGUGUUGACACAUACUACACACAUGGCUGAAACCAGGGGACGUGGUGCCAAGUGAAAUGUCACUUAUAAGUAAUACUAUUCAUUGAAUCCCAAUAAAAAGCUGAAAUGUUCCUUUGGUAAGGAUAUAGAAAACUGGUUUUUUUUUUCCUUUUAAUUUGUGUAUGUGUGUCCAUAUCUCUGUCUCUGGAGCGUGUAUGUGUACAUAUGGGUGUACUUGUCCUGAGAGGAGCAUGCAGAGGCCCCACUUUGUGGGGGUCAGUUCUCUCCAUGUGCUAAGGAUUAAAUUCAGGUUAUUCGGUUUGGAGUCAAGUACCUUUGCCUUGACUUAAUGUUCCCAGCAAACUACUUUUAAAUAUUGUUGGUUGAAUUAUAAAUUGUCUCAAUCAUUUUUGGAAGACAGAAUUGCAGUCAUCGUAGUUUAAAUGCAUAUAGUCCUAGCAAUUAAUCUUCCAGGAUUUACUUCAUAGAUAUAUUAAAAAGUGUGCU
rnacentral:lncRNA from 1 species